rnacentral:rRNA from 1 species
GACGAACGCUGGCGGCGUGCUUAACACAUGCAAGUCGAACGGAAAGGCCCUGCUUGCAGGGUACUCGAGUGGCGAACGGGUGAGUAACACGUGGGUGAUCUGCCCUGCACUUCGGGAUAAGCCUGGGAAACUGGGUCUAAUACCGGAUAGGAGCCAUUUUUAGUGUGAUGGUUGGAAAGUUUUUUCGGUGUAGGAUGAGUUCGCGGCCUAUCAGCUUGUUGGUGGGGUAAUGGCCUACCAAGGCGGCGACGGGUAGCCGGCCUGAGAGGGUGGACGGCCACAUUGGGACUGAGAGACGGCCCAGACUCCUACGGGAGGCAGCAGUGGGGAAUAUUGCACGAUGGGCGCAAGCCUGAUGAAGCGACGCCGCGUGGGGGAUGACGGCCUUAGGGUUGUAAAAUCAUUUCGCUAGGGACGAAGCUUUUUGUGACGGUACCUAGAUAAGAAGCCCCGGCUAACUACGUG